rnacentral:lncRNA from 1 species
UACAAGCAGCAUCUCUGCCCAGAGGCCCAGACAAUGUUCCCCACUACCAAUUUUCAGAAGCUGAUGACAUCCGCAUGAGGUAAAAUGCCACCAAAAUAAUGUGCCAAGCUCUGGGCCAAGCUCUGGGUAUACAAAAGCAAUGAAGACACAGUCACCGAUCUCAAAGAGCUCACAGUCUAGAGAUGAAGACAGCACAUAAAUAGUAAUUACAAGAUGGAGCAGGAGGUUAGCAGAGCCUGUGCCUUCAGCUGCGAUGGGAAGGUGUUAAGUUGUUCUGCUUGGUCAAGUCCUAUGAAGAAGCCCAGGAUCCCAAGAUUACCAGCCUGUUAAACAAGCUGAUGGUGCUGUUCCUGCCACC